rnacentral:rRNA from 1 species
UGGGUAACCUGCCUCAAAGAGGGGAAUAGCCUCCCGAAAGGGAGAUUAAUACCGCAUAAUAUGUUUAAGUCGCAUGACUUUAACAUCAAAGGAUUUUCUUUUAGAACUUCCACUUUGAGAUGGACCCGCGGCGCAUUAGCUAGUUGGUGAGGUAACGGCUCACCAAGGCAACGAUGCGUAGCCGACCUGAGAGGGUGAUCGGCCACAUUGGAACUGAGACACGGUCCAGACUCCUAGGAG